GCCAGUGUGGCAUAGUGGUUUGAGCGUUGGACUAGGACACUGAGAGACCAGGUUUUGAAUCCUGGCUUGGUCA